rnacentral:snoRNA from 1 species
AAGCAGUGAUGAGUCUAUCCCGAACCUGAGUUUCUGAUGACACAAAUAUGGAUCUGACUGCUGAGCU